rnacentral:rRNA from 1 species
AUUGAACGCUGGCGGCAUGCUUUACACAUGCAAGUCGAGCGGCAGCGCGGGGGCAACCCUGGCGGCGAGCGGCGAACGGGUGAGUAAUGCAUCGGAACGUAUCCUCGAGUGGGGGAUAACCCAGCGAAAGUUGGGCUAAUAACGCAUGAGCUCUGAGGAGGAAAGCGGGGGACCUGCGAGGGCCUCGCGCUGGAGGAGCGGCCGAUGUCCGAUUAGCUAGUUGGUGGGGUAAAGGCUUACCAAGGCGACGAUCGGUAGCUGGUCUGAGAGGAUGAUCAGCCACACUGGGACUGAGACACGGCCCAGACUCCUACGGGAGGCAGCAGUGGGGAAUUUUGGACAAUGGGGGCAACCCUGAUCCAGCCAUGCCGCGUGAGUGAAGAAGGCCUUCGGGUUGUAAAGCUCUUUCGGACGGAACGAAAUGGGCGGGACUAAUACUCCUGUCUGAUGACGGUACCGUAAGAAGAAGCACCGGCUAACUACGUG